rnacentral:misc_RNA from 1 species
GGGGGCGGCGGCGUUUGCAUGUGACAGGCGGAAUGUGGCGACGAGAAAUAUGGGGUUUUGUAAGGGGUCAUUGGGAAUAGAAGAGAGAGUUAAGGACUUAAUCGGGAGAUUAACGUUGGGAGAGAAAAUAAGGCUUUUAGUUAACAAUGCAAUUGCCGUGCCGCGGCUGGGGAUUAGAGGAUAUGAGUGGUGGUCCGAAGCGCUUCAUGGAGUCUCUAACGUGGGCCCCGGUACCAAGUUUGGUGGGCCCUUCCCUGCCGCCACUAGCUUUCCUCAAGUCAUCACAACCGCUGCUUCUUUCAAUCAAUCGCUCUGGCAAGAAAUCGGACGGGUAGUUUCUGACGAGGCGAGAGCUAUGUACAACGGAGGAACGGCAGGAUUAACCUACUGGAGUCCAAACGUGAACAUUUUUCGAGAUCCACGGUGGGGGCGAGGGCAAGAAACUCCUGGUGAGGACCCGAUCGUGGCCGGAAAAUAUGCCGCCAGCUACGUCCGAGGGCUGCAGGGGAAUGCUGGGGGGAAAAGGCUGAAGGUGGCUGCUUGUUGCAAGCAUUAUACAGCCUAU